UCCGUAGGGGGCAAGCGUUGUCCGGAUUUAUUGGGCGUAAAGAGCGUGUAGGCGGCCAGACAGGUCCGUUGUGAAAACUAGAGGCUUAACCUCUAGACGUCGAUGGAAACCGUUUGGCUAGAGUCCGGAAGAGGAGAAUGGAAUUCCUGGUGUAGCGGUGAAAUGCGCAGAUAUCAGGAAGAACACCCGUGGCUAAGGCGGUUCUCUAGUACGGUACUGACGCUGAGACGCGAAAGCGUGGGGAGCGAACAGG
rnacentral:rRNA from 1 species